CCUACGGGGGGCUGCAGUGGGGAAUAUUGGGCAAUGGGCGCAAGCCUGACCCAGCAACGCCGCGUGAAGGACGAAGGCUUUCGGGUUGUAAACUUCUUUUAAGGGGGAAGAGCAGAAGACGGUACCCCUUGAAUAAGCCACGGCUAACUACGUGCCAGCAGCCGCGGUAAUACGUAGGUGGCAAGCGUUGUCCGGCUGUACUGGGUGUAAAGGGCGUGCAGCCGGUGAGACAAGUCAGAUGUGAAAUCCACGGGCUCAACCCGUGAACUGCAUUUGAAACUGUUUGCCUUGAGUGUCGGAGAGGUAAUCGGAAUUCCUUGUGUAGCGGUGAAAUGCGUAGAUAUAAGGAAGAACACCAGUGGCGAAGGCGGAUUACUGGACGAUAACUGACGGUGAGGCGCGAAAGCGUGGGGAGCAAACAGGAUUAGAUACCCGGGUAGUC
rnacentral:rRNA from 1 species